rnacentral:rRNA from 1 species
AAUCAACGCUGGCGGCGUGCCUAACACAUGCAAGUCGAACGCGGUUUUUCCGCAAGGGAAAACUGAGUGGCGAACGGGUGAGUAACACGUGGGUGACCUACCUUCGAGUGGGGGAUAACGUCCCGAAAGGGACGCUAAUACCGCAUAACAUCCUGCCUUUGAAGAGGUGGAGAUCAAAGCCGGGGACCGCAAGGCCCGGCGCUUGAUGAGGGGCCCGCGUCCGAUUAGCUAGUUGGUGGGGUAAU